CGCAAGCCUGACGGAGCAACGCCGCGUGUGGGGAGAAGGCUCUUGGGCUGUCAACCACUUUUCUCAGGGAAGAAGUCCUGACGGUACCUGAGGAAUCAGCCUCGGCUAACUCCGUGCCAGCAGCCGCGGUAAUACGGAGGAGGCAAGCGUUAUCCGGAAUUAUUGGGCGUAAAGCGUCCGCAGGGGGCACAUCAAGUCUGCUGUUAAAGGCUGGAGCUUAACUCCGGUAGAGCAGUGGAAACUGGUGUGCUAGAGGGCGACAGGGGUAGAGGGAAUUCCCGGUGUAGCGGUGAAAUGCGUAGAUAUUGGGAAGAACACCAGUGGCGAAAGCGCUCGACUGGGCCUGCACUGACACUGAGGGACGAAAGCUAGGGGAGCG
rnacentral:rRNA from 1 species